GACGAACGCUGGCGGCGUGCCUAAUACAUGCAAGUCGAACGAACUCUGGUAUUGAUUGGUGCUUGCAUCAUGAUUUACAUUUGAGUGAGUGGCGAACUGGUGAGUAACACGUGGGAAACCUGCCCAGAAGCGGGGGAUAACACCUGGAAACAGAUGCUAAUACCGCAUAACAACUUGGACCGCAUGGUCCGAGUUUGAAAGAUGGCUUCGGCUAUCACUUUUGGAUGGUCCCGCGGCGUAUUAGCUAGAUGGUGGGGUAACGGCUCACCAUGGCAAUGAUACGUAGCCGACCUGAGAGGGUAAUCGGCCACAUUGGGACUGAGACACGGCCCAAACUCCUACGGGAGGCAGCAGUAGGGAAUCUUCCACAAUGGACGAAAGUCUGAUGGAGCAACGCCGCGUGAGUGAAGAAGGGUUUCGGCUCGUAAAACUCUGUUGUUAAAGAAGAACAUAUCUGAGAGUAACUGUUCAGGUAUUGACGGUAUUUAACCAGAAAGCCACGGCUAACUACGUGCCAGCAGCCGCGGUAAUACGUAGGUGGCAAGCGUUGUCCGGAUUUAUUGGGCGUAAAGCGAGCGCAGGCGGUUUUUUAAGUCUGAUGUGAAAGCCUUCGGCUCAACCGAAGAAGUGCAUCGGAAACUGGGAAACUUGAGUGCAGAAGAGGACAGUGGAACUCCAUGUGUAGCGGUGAAAUGCGUAGAUAUAUGGAAGAACACCAGUGGCGAAGGCGGCUGUCUGGUCUGUAACUGACGCUGAGGCUCGAAAGUAUGGGUAGCAAACAGGAUUAGAUACCCUGGUAGUCCAUACCGUAAACGAUGAAUGCUAAGUGUUGGAGGGUUUCCGCCCUUCAGUGCUGCAGCUAACGCAUUAAGCAUUCCGCCUGGGGAGUACGGCCGCAAGGCUGAAACUCAAAGGAAUUGACGGGGGCCCGCACAAGCGGUGGAGCAUGUGGUUUAAUUCGAAGCUACGCGAAGAACCUUACCAGGUCUUGACAUACUAUGCAAAUCUAAGAGAUUAGACGUUCCCUUCGGGGACAUGGAUACAGGUGGUGCAUGGUUGUCGUCAGCUCGUGUCGUGAGAUGUUGGGUUAAGUCCCGCAACGAGCGCAACCCUUAUUAUCAGUUGCCAGCAUUAAGUUGGGCACUCUGGUGAGACUGCCGGUGACAAACCGGAGGAAGGUGGGGAUGACGUCAAAUCAUCAUGCCCCUUAUGACCUGGGCUACACACGUGCUACAAUGGAUGGUACAACGAGUUGCGAACUCGCGAGAGUAAGCUAAUCUCUUAAAGCCAUUCUCAGUUCGGAUUGUAGGCUGCAACUCGCCUACAUGAAGUCGGAAUCGCUAGUAAUCGCGGAUCAGCAUGCCGCGGUGAAUACGUUCCCGGGCCUUGUACACACCGCCCGUCACACCAUGAGAGUUUGUAACACCCAAAGUCGGUGGGGUAACCUUUUAGGAACCAGCCGCCUAAGGUGGGACAGAUGAUUAGGGUGAAGUCGUAACAAGGU
rnacentral:rRNA from 2 species